rnacentral:rRNA from 1 species
CCUACGGGCGGCUGCAGUGGGGAAUAUUGGACAAUGGGCGAAAGCCUGAUCCAGCCAUGCCGCGUGUGUGAAGAAGGCCUUCGGGUUGUAAAGCACUUUCAGUGGGGAAGAAAGCCUUGGGGCUAAUACCCUCGAGGAAGGACAUCACCCACAGAAGAAGCACCGGCUAACUCCGUGCCAGCAGCCGCGGUAAUACGGAGGGUGCGAGCGUUAAUCGGAAUUACUGGGCGUAAAGCGCGCGUAGGCGGUCUGAUAAGCCGGUUGUGAAAGCCCCGGGCUCAACCUGGGAACGGCAUCCGGAACUGUCAGGCUAGAGUGCAGGAGAGGAAGGUAGAAUUCCCGGUGUAGCGGUGAAAUGCGUAGAGAUCGGGAGGAAUACCAGUGGCGAAGGCGGCCUUCUGGACUGACACUGACGCUGAGGUGCGAAAGCGUGGGUAGCAAACAGGAUUAGAUACCCCGUUAGUC